rnacentral:rRNA from 1 species
AGCGCAGACAGUUAUUUAAGUCUGAAGUGAAAGCCCUCAGCUCAACUGAGGAAUGGCUUUGGAAACUGGAUGACUUGAGUGCAGUAGAGGAAAGUGGAACUCCAUGUGUAGCGGUGAAAUGCGUAGAUAUAUGGAAGAACACCAGUGGCGAAGGCGGCUUUCUGGACUGUAACUGACGUUGAGGCUCGAAAGUGUGGGUAGCAAACA